rnacentral:rRNA from 1 species
GCUCUUUGAGUCUUGCAGUUGGAAUGAGUACAAUUUAAACCCCUUAACGAGUAACAAUUGGAGGGCAAGUCUGGUGCCAGCAGCCGCGGUAAUUCCAGCUCCAAUAGCGUAUAUUAAAGUUGUUGCAGUUAAAAAGCUCGUAGUUGGACUUUAGGCGAGCCGGGUCGGUCCGCCAUUGGCGGCACUGGCUCUGGCGAGCCUCACCUUCGGGAAACCAGUGUUCUGCGCUGGGGAACCGAGCCUUA